rnacentral:rRNA from 1 species
GAUGAACGCUGGCGGCGUGCCUAAUACAUGCAAGUCGAGCGAACGGACGAGAAGCUUGCUUCUCUGAUGUUAGCGGCGGACGGGUGAGUAACACGUGGAUAACCUACCUAUAAGACUGGGAUAACUUCGGGAAACCGUAGCUAAUACCGGAUAAUAUUUUGAACCGCAUGGUUCAAAAGUGAAAGACGGUCUUGCUGUCACUUAUAGAUGGAUCCGCGCUGCAUUAGCUAGUUGGUAAGGUAACGGCUUACCAAGGCAACGAUGCGUAGCCGACCUGAGAGGGUGAUCGGCCACACUGGAACUGAGACACGGUCCAGACUCCUACGAGAGGCAGCAGUAGGGAAUCUUCCGCAAUGGGCGAAAGCCUGACGGAGCAACGCCGCGUGAGUGAUGAAGGUCUUCGGAUCGUAAAACUCUGUUAUUAGGGAAGAACAUAUGUGUAAGUAACUGUGCACAUCUUGACGGUACCUAAUCAGAAAGCCACGGCUAACUACGUG